CCCGCGAUAAGCGUAUUAUAUGUCAAAAGACUUGGGAUCGAACCCCGCUCAAACUCACCAAACAGUUUCCUUGCUUCCCAUACCUUCCCCUCCUUACAAAGCCAAUGUAUGAGUGUGCUCGUUAUUGCAUUAUCUGGCGUGCAGUUCUUCUCUAACAUCCUCUUCCACAAUUCACAAGCCUCGUCUACCUUCUUCCCGUCUUCACACAACACAUCAAUAACCUUGCAACAAAGAGCAGAGCUCGGUAUAUACUUUCUCUCGAGCAUAUCAUCAAGCAUGUUACGUGCUUCACCUGCUUUCUUCUCUUUGCAAAAUGCCUCGAUCAUAACCCCAUAAGUAACAUCAUUUGGCUCCACACCAUUCUCAUCCAUAUUAUCCAUGAUUUUAAUAGCAUCGACUAAUCUUCCUUGUUUACAAUACCCGUCCAUCAAGAUCGUAUAUGUUAUUGCGUCUGGCAACCACCCUCUAUCGAAAAGGUCACC
rnacentral:misc_RNA from 1 species